GGGUUCCCGGCGCUGUGGGCUCGGUCCUCAGGCCCCUCGCCCUGUGGGAAGGCAGCGGUGGCCUUGGAGUCUCUUAACUAUGAUGUCACCUGCUUGUGUUUUCUUCUCUCCUUGUGGAGCUUUGAGACAAUCCACUACAGCUUCUUUACAUGCACACCAUUUCCAUCUCACACCCGAUACAUAAAGAUAUAUUUUGCUUUUUUUUUUUUUUUAAUACACUUUCCCCAUUUGUCACAGCCCAUAUCAUGCAGGGAGGUUUUAAGAGAAAUCCAAAAGAAACUCCAAAAAGUUAGGCAAGGGAUACCAGUCCAAGCUGAAACACCCAGGAGAGAGGUGAAAGGUUUCCCAGCUGUGCCAGUGAUUUGAUGAUGUAUGGCAAAAUGGUACUUUGACCCCCGUUCUAAGUCUUAUUCUAACAGGACGAGCUGGAGUUUCAGCUACCCAGGCCUGCUGGAAAUUGGGCCCAGCAGUUAUUUGGCAGUGGCCUUGAUGAGCAGUAAUGCCAGCUUUCCAUUGCAAUGCUCACAUUCAGAGAUUUGCAGAAUUAGAGUCCAAAUUCUGCUUGUAUUUGCAAGCCCAGAAUGCCACUGACUUCAAGGGGGUUGUAGGAUUUUAGCCAAGAGCAGAAAUUUGCCCAGGAUUUUUUCAGACUCCCUCAUGCUUCUGUUUAUAUGAUAUUACCAUCAAGCUCUAUUAGCAUGCUCCAUGAUGCAUUUUACUUUUAAAUUACAUAAAGGAUAUUUACUGUGCUGAUGCUACAUAGUUUGCAAGAAAGAUGCACAUGUGGAAAUGAAAAAACAUCAAUUACCAUCAGGAUUUCCAGCUUUCAGCAUUCAUUUUCCAAAACAACCCAGGGACUAUUUCCCAUCAAAAAAAAAAAAAAAGGAGAAGAAAUGAAAAUCCAGUUUCUUGGCAUUUACGUAUGGCAUUUUGGAGCCUUACUCAUCAA